rnacentral:misc_RNA from 1 species
AAGGGUUGCAGAUACUACACUAAGGUAUUCUAAUUUAAUCUCUCUGCUUUGUUUAUCUUUCUCUAAUUUUUGUUAGGUGGAAUGCUAUUUUUAUCAGUUGUCUGACUUCUAGCUCAAAUGGGUAGGUAGUGAAUUUCAUUGUUAUUUAUGGUGUACUUAGCAGCGCGUGCAUGCUUUCCUAUUUGUGGGACCUAAUCCUGUUUUAUUAAGAGGAAGAACAUAUUUUUAAGAGGAAAUGUUUAUGGCAACUAUCAGAUUUUUUUUUUCCUUUUCAAAUACAAUAUGUUAUUUUAUAAAUGUUUAAUGUUGGUAAAAAAGAACCUCAACAAGCACCAACUUUUGCUAUUUUACACAUGGUGGUGGGUGGGUCUUUGGCCCACCUUGAAUUUUAAAACAGCAGCAUAGUAUAAUGCAUUAAUUAUUUCCCAUGCCCCUAUGUCUAUCGGGCACUGGUCUAUUGGGCAGUGGCCAUUGUUAGUCAGAAUCAAAGUCUGAAUUUUAAUAUAAUCCGGAUUACAAUGGAAUUUGAGGUUAUAUUACCGUUCCAGUCAAAUUUGGCUGUUAGAUAAUUCAUCUCUUAUGGAAUGGUGUGGUGCUAAAAUUGUGGGUUUUGAUUAGUCAUUCUUUUGUAAUUCCCUUUUCGGUUCAGAAAAGUGGAAGGGGAAGGCAAAUACUCAAUCAUUAUGCUAUUAUAAUCAUUAAGCUUCCUGUGGCUGGAAACUCUUAUAGCUUGAUUUUAUCCUAUCCAAACUCUUUAAAUUGAUUGUAAAACAAACUCCUUUAUUUGGCAUAAGAUCAAACAAGUUUGUUUCAUUCCAACAAUUUAAGACGAUAGUAAACCAAAAAAUCACUUUAGGUUUGUCUUUCUUGGUCUCACAUGUUGUAUACAGACACUUGUAUAUACUCUGAUGCCUAUGGGUGGGUGUUGUACAUGCGCAUACCUGGAAAAUUGGCUGGUUCUGCUAGGAAGUUACUUUCUGAAAAAUAAAAACAGUAAAUGGCUUGGUUAAUUUGUUUAAAUGCUGAAUUUUGAUUUGGUUCAAAUACAGAAUUUCCACGGAUCAGUGGAAG